CUGCCCCUGUGACUGCUACAUCAUCCUCAUCCUCACCUGUGAGGAAACGUUCAUCACCUGCCCCUGUGACUGCUACAUCAUCCUCGUCCUCAUCCUCACCUGUUAAACAGCAUUCAUCAAGAAAAAGACGGGAGAGGUUUCAGUCAAGAUUGGUCAAACUACGGGAACAUCAUAACAAUUGCUCCAAGCGCUUCAAUAGAGCAGAAAUUAAAAAAACCAACACAACAAAAAAGACUGCCAUACAUGAGGAUUGCGUUGUAUUCCAGUCAUCUGAUGCACCCUGUGCUAUGUGUACCUCUGUAAAGGCAUCACCACCCUCUCGCCCUUCUCCACUCCCCUCAUCAUCAUCAUCAUCAGCUGCCCCUGUGAUUGGCACAUCAUCUUCAUCCUCCCCAUCAUCACCUGCCCCUUUGCCCUGUGAUGCAUCCACUUCUGUGAUCUCUCCAUCACAGGUGUCCCAGACACUCUCAAUAAGGGAGGUUCAUCAAUCCCUUCAAAAAGAAAAUGGGAGGACUCUGAGGUAAAAGCAGUUGAAAAACAUAUGAUGAAGUUCAUAAAGACCUGCAAAGUUCCUGGUAAGCAAGACUGUGAGAGAUGCAUUGAAGCAGAGUCAGAAGCCUUAAAGGAACGAACAUGGACUGGUGUGAAAAAUUAUGUGCGGAACAGGAUCACAACUUUAAAAAAAAGAGGUGGAUUUUAGAGGCUACAUUGCCUUUUACUGUAAAGUGAAGAACAUGUUGAGGAAAAUGUUAAAAGCAUCAAUGCCAUUUACACCAUAUCAAACUUUAAUAACUUCUGUAAGGCCCUG
ensembl:lncRNA